rnacentral:rRNA from 1 species
CAGCACCUCAAGUGGUCAGGUUGAUUAUUGGGCCUAAAGCAUCCGUAGCCGGCGCUGUAAGUUUUCGGUUAAAUCUGUACGCUCAACGUACAGGCUGCCGGGAAUACUGCAGCGCUAGGGAGUGGGAGAGGUAGACGGUACUCGGUAGGAAGGGGUAAAAUCCUUUGAUCUAUUGAUGACCACCUGUGGCGAAGGCGGUCUACCAGAACACGUCCGACGGUGAGGGAUGAAAGCUGGGGGAGCAAACCGGAUUAGAUACCCGAGUAGUCC